rnacentral:misc_RNA from 1 species
GAGGCAAAGAAAGAUAAAUCGGCCCAAGAUAUUCAGCAAGCUGUAAAAAAUGAAAGGAAGAGGUUCAGAGAAGAAAUAUGAGUGACUAAAACAGAGUAUGAGAAAAAUAAAGGUUAAUGGGAAAGAGAGAAAUCAAUACUUUGAGGGAAACUAAAAGAAGCGGGCUUACAGAAUAACAGGUUACAAGAAGAGCUUAAUUGUCACAAGGUGUUAGUGGAUAAAUAUGAACAGGAACUAGAAAUGAAACGGAUUGAAUAUGAUGGACAAUCUCAGUUGA